rnacentral:snRNA from 1 species
AUAAAUUCGUAUUUCACGGUUUA